rfam:Selaginella moellendorffii unplaced genomic scaffold SELMOscaffold_1, whole genome shotgun sequence.
GCUGGAGUAGCUCAGAUGGUCAGAGCGUGCGGCUGUUAACCGCAAGGUCGGAGGUUCGACCCCUCCCUCUAGCG